AUGACUGAGAGCUGUCCUUCAUGACAACAGAACCCACAACAACCAUGACUUUUAUCACCAUCUUCAUCUGGACACUUGCCCUCUGUCUCCAAGAGUCAAGAGGCCAGGUCACAGUGACCCAGACUCCUGCAGUGAAAGCUGUUUCAGUGGGUCACUCAGUCAGUCUCAGCUGUAAGACCAGCAGUGCUGUACACAUUAACAGCAAUGGACACUAUUUGCACUGGUACCAACAGAAACCUGGAGGAGCUCCUAAACUCCUAAUAUACUGGGCUAAAACCCUUCAGUCUGGGACUCCCCAUCUAGAUUCAGUGGCAGUGGAUCAGGGAGUGACUUCACUCUGACCAUCAGUGGAGUCCAGGCUGAAGAUGCAGGAGAUUACUACUGUCAGAGUUUACACUACCCCAACAGUGUCUGGGUGUUCACACAGUGAUACAGAGCCGUACAAAAACAUCCCUCAGUCAGACUGCACAGUGACUGUACUGAUACAGCUGGGACCUACUGCAGGUGCUGAGGGGGAAGAGACAGUGACAUGGAACACUGAUCAGUAGAAGAGGUCAACUUUGAAAACAGAAAGAAUCAUACGUUCUCCAACAUCGUCUUUAUCAUCGUCAUCAUCAUCGUCAUUAUUAUCAUCAUCAUGGUUAUAACUUGUUAUAUUGGACAUGAACUGAAAGUGUAUAUAAAAGUUCUUUGUAGUUUUGGAAGACAAUACCAGUCCAUAGUAGAGUAAGAUGUACAGAAGUAAGAGGAAAAGUAUCAGCCCCCCAAACCAAUUCCCUACAUGCACUUCACAACCAGUUAUUGAUGUGAUCAUCUAGCAUGUAUUAACUCUUUUCAUGAACUGUUAGAUCUGUGAAUGAGACAUGAUGCUGGGCUCAAACAUGACACAUUGAUGUAGAGACAUACACUACACACUAUUAUCAUAAAGUAUAAUAUCCGUUGUGUCUGUCAUUAAUUACAUGAUGGUAUAUUUGUAAUGUCUCCCUCCCUGAAUCCACCAUAGAGGUUAAAACCAGUCCACUCCCUCACAUCUGGCCCAGUCCAGGGUAUUUCAGGCAGUAAAACAGGUCAACUGGUAGACUGGUAGCUGUGGGAGUGAAACAGAUUUACAUAGACAGGGUUGGGUGGUUCUGCUUGUCCCAGAAUAGAGCAGAACUGUCACCAGAUGUUCACUCUGUCCCCAGGGGGUUGGAGGUAGAGAAGACCAGGGAAAAUGUAAUGGAAAAGCGUAGACCACACAUUGCUAAAACCCAUUGAAAAAACAUCUAAUUUAAUAAAAUCAUAUCAGGAAUUAAUCAUGAUAAAUAUAUGUGUAAUGGAAAGCAACCUUUGAGCGCAGAUAUGUUAUGAGGGCAGAUAUUAGAGGUUUAUUUUUUAUUAUUGGUACAUAAAGUUGGUGGAAUGUGAACAACUCUCUCACUUUGGUGAGAUGUCUGUCCACAGACAUUAUUAAAAGAAACAGCCUGAAAGUC